ensembl:lncRNA
CCCUUUCCCAUUGGUAACCGUAACUUUGUUUUCUUGGUUUUAUUUGUGUUUUGUAAAUAUGUUCAUUUUUAUCAUUUUUUUUUUUUUUUUUUAGAUUCCACAUAUGAUGUUUGUCUUUUCUUUCUUAGUUCACUUAGUAUGAUCAUCUCUAGGUCCAUCCAUGGUACUGCAAGUGGCAUUAUUUCGCUUUUAUAAUGGCUGAGAUCUGGUUUCUAAUUUUUAUGGUCUUAGACUGUUGGCCGUGACAGUUACAGUGAAACAUUUUCAAAACCUGCUGCUGGGGUGGAGGUGUUGGCCCCUGAUCCUCCCAUCUGCGAUUCUGGAAUGAUCUUCUCCUCAUCUUGAAGUAGCGGCGCCAAGGCCCAAAGUUGACAUGAUGGCCUAUUUAGUGAGCUGUAAUGUAAUUUACCAUCACGACAGGCCUUCAGGGACAUGACAGAGUGCAGCAAAAUACAGUAUCCAAUAUUUAUAGUAAAUAGAGUCGAGCGGCUUUUUAUCUCGCCUUGUAGAAAAGUGCACACACUGUGUUUUCCACCCAUUCUGAGUGCUCGGGGAGGGAGAGGAGGGAAGGCCGGUGGGCGAUGCCGUCCCAAGCUAGAGCCGCUGACUUGGAACAACCUGGGAUGCGUUAGCGCUCAGACUGAACAGGAGAGACUCUUCUGAAAAAUGUGCUGUCCCCCCUGUUAUAAUUCACCCUAAUGAGCAGGGAACAAAAGGUUGUGAAGGAGAGUGGUGACUGAUGGCCGACACGGCCGCCCCGUGCUCCAGCUGGCGCGGCUCCCGCUGGCGAAAAGCAUAAUAUAUUAUUGCUCCAGGUCGCAGAGUGGUAAAUGAACACUUACGGCCGCUAUGGCAACCAGAUUGAUUAUCACAGUUACCUCAGGACUGGCCAGGCCCCGCGUUACAAGUGAGCACGUGCGUCCCUGCCGAGCUUCAGUCAGAGGAGCACCUCAAAGGCAAUUUGUACAGACUGAAACCUCUGAUGCCUGCAUGGCCCUCCUCUCCAGCCUCUCCCCGUCCAGCGAGGAGUUGGGGUCAGGUGGUGCCAAUGGUGGGGCCCCUCAGCCUGGAGAUGCUGGGUUGCCUUGCUGAAAGGGGGCCUGGUUCAUCGUGAGGGCAGGGUCACUGUUUGUUGAACAAAAUCCAAUGCAUGAAUGAAUCCAUGAGUGGAAUGCCAGGCCAAGGUCAAGGUGGGGAGCAAGGGUGUGGCGGCCACACAUGGGUAUCAGAGGCUGGGAAGCCUGGGCACAAAGUCCCAGAGAAGGAAAGAAGGAAAGCAGGAUAUAGCAAAUCCGAGCCUAAUCUGCAACCUACACCACAGCUCACAGAAAUGCCAGAGCCUUAACCUACUGAGCAAGGCCAGGGAUUGAACCCGCGUUCUCAUGGAUGCUAACUGGGUCCAUUACCUCUGAGCCACAAUGGGAACUCCAAGGCACACAACUCUUGCUAUGGGUGCCUGUUUUCUGGAGGCAGAGGGAGGACACUUGAUGACAAGAAGGGAGAAUUGAAUGUUGGAGAUUUGAAAGACUCAAGGAGCCUAGGAGGCUGGUAGAGCUAGGAUUCUGCCAGCUGGAACCAGGUGUCUCCUCUCCCAGCUCUGCCUCCUACAGCUGUGAGCCAGGGUUCUGCCUCCCCAGGAGCAUAGACUGAGCUAGGAAAGGAACUUGAGCAAGGACAGGGUGUCUGUUGGUGGCCUCUGUGCCUCUGGCCAGUGGGCAGCCCACCUCCCAAGGCCUCCUACCUGGUCCGGCCUGGCUGCUCUCGUGUGUAGGCCUGAAACCCUCCUGCAGCUGCAGUCCAGCCACCCUGCACUGGCCUGGGUGGAGUUUCCAUCCUCAACAGGUGGGAGUUCUUCUCAGACCCUUGCCCAAGCUCCGUUCCAUGUGGCUUUUAUUCCCCGCCCCCCACUUACAAUGUAUACAUAUGGGUUGAGCCCCUCCCACAUCACUGUAAAGGGAGAACACCUGUUCCUUCUGCCAGCAGGAAACAGACCACUUUCUGCUUUGAACAGGCCAGUUGCCCAUCCAACUCACAGCCUUAAGCAAGAUACUAAGAGCCUCACCUGGGUCAGUGUGAGGUCAUUUCACUUGAGCACAUCCUGGGUGUGUCCCACCAGUGUCAAUGGGGCUGGACCCUGCCAAUCAGACAUGAAUGAGACCCCUCUCUCUUCUUGGGUCACCCACCCAGUCUGUGCAGGCUGCUGGUAGAAGAGUGAUGAGCGCCGCUCAGACUGUGUGUGACCAUGUAGGUGGGACACUUCUCAUCAUGGUGGGGACAGUGAGCAAUACCUCGGACACUUCAGGGGAGGAAUUUCGAAGUCUGAGUCCUUGCAGUGAACAGGGUACCAUCGACUACUCGGCUAUCUCGUUAAUUCCAAAGUGGGGAAGGCAUGCCUCCUCUCCAGAAGUGUUUCCAACAUGAUCUAGGGGGGCUGGACUCCUGGCCCCUUGCUUCUUGAAGUGUUUUCUGUUACCACCCCAAGGGUUUGCUCAGAGCACUGAUCACGCUGUGCCAUCUGCUGGGUCACCUGUGUGUUUAUCCUUUCUCCUGUAUUGGGAAAGGAAGGACCUGGGUCUCAGGGACCAAGACCAUGUCCCAUCUCAAAGACAUCCCCACAGACCCCAAAAGCAGGUGCUUGAGGGAUUGGAACUCUGUGACUCUCAGGGGUGGAGGAGGGAGGAACAUACCAGAAGAGUGACUAGAGUGGGCGCCCCCACCAGGGGCUUGCAGUAUUUUAUUAGCUGGCAAAUAAAGGCGGGUAAGAGGAAACUAGUACAUUGGCUCUCACAUGCAUAUUGAGUUUUUUGUUUUGCAUGUGCUCUUUGAAAUUUAAAUAUGCAGAAGUACAGGCUGGAGCUGUUCUGUCCAAGAUGGUAGCCCCUGGCCACAUGUGACCACUUAAAUUUCCAGUAAAUGAAAUUAAAUUGAAUGAAGAAAUCCCCCUCUCACACUCCCCCACAUGUCCAGUGCUCAGUAGCCACAAGUUGACUAUUGCCUACAAGAUCAGACAGCACAGACAUAGAAUAGUUCCAUUAGCGCAGAACUUUGAACUGGAGGGCACUAAGACGCCAAGCCAAAUUUCUUGAUCCAAAGUGUAUGCUAUAGAUCAUACACAUCUGAAUUAUUUGAAGGCAGAAGGAGAGAAGAGUUUGUCAAAAUACAGAUUCCUGAGUUCCUCCCUGGUUUUGCUCAAUCACAGUUUUUAGGGGUUGGGGGAACUGGGAAUCUGUAUUUUAACAAGAAGCCCCCAGGUGGCUAUUGAACAAACUCACAUCUCCAUGCUCCAAGGGAAGCCAGAAGUUGAAUCGAGAAGCUGGGAAGCCUCCUGGUAGAGCACUUCUGAGCAUCUGAGAUGCCUCAUAGCACUUUCCAUUCCAGCGGAAAGUCUCCCAGAGUCUGUGCCCGGAGCUUCCAGUCUGGCAGCUAAAGGCGCCAUCUCAGUAAAGUCCUGGCUCUGCUUCCACCAGGUAGUAAAUAAUGAAGAGCGAGCCUGUCCAAGCAUUAUCUCCCUCUCUUCUCUUGCCGAACCAGGAGGAUGGAAAUAACCUCGCUGUUCCCCUCGAGCAUGUUUGAAUCACAAGUACCUUCUCUCUCAAAUAAAUUUAUUUCCUACCGCCUUCAUCCCAACAAAGACCAGCCGGUGAUGAAUACCAGACUUCAGAGCUUAUUUGUCAAAGCAGCACACCUGUGAGGAUUCUUGGGGAAGAUAAAUUUUGGUUUGGGGAAGGGGGGGCCUGCAGGAGGAGGGACCUGGCCAGGAAUAAAUCUUAACAUGUUGCACCAGACGGUGAAUGAGCGUUUGCCGUGCAAGGCUCGCCCUCCUGACAAGGUAUGAUAAAUUACCCUCUUUGUUGACACCUUCAUUGGGUUAUUUAUGGCUCAUUAAUUGAACCGAAAAGGGGCCUUGUAGACCCAGCAGGGGCACCUUACAAUGCUCCUCCAGUGGACCCAGCUCAAAGAGAAGAACAAAGGAGAAGAGGGGGGAGGGCUUAGAAAUGUUUCUGCUCCUUGACUUGAGACACUGUUCGCCAAAGAAUUCAAGAUUUGCUAAACACACACACACACACACACACACAGAGAGAGAGAGAGAGAGAGAGAGAGAGAGAGAGAGAGAAAAGCUUUGGAAGCUCAGGUGAACCUCUCUGGAGCUGGUUAGCUGGGUACCUCAUACCCAGCCCAUGCUGCUGACUAGCACCUUCUAGGGAAGGAAAGAAGCAGUGGCCAAGAGCUCUCUUUGUGAUUGCCUUCCUUGCUAGAGGCUUGCCGGGGAAGACAGCACAGUGGAGACCUUCAGAGGAUCUAGACCCAGGUCCAGCUCAUUUGUGAACUUGCUGUGAGGCUUUGGGGAGGUCACUCGAUCUCUCUGAGCUUCGGGUCCCUCCCUUGUGAAGUGAGGGUGUCAAUGGAGGAAUCUCAGAGUCUGUCUCUGUUCUAAAGGGUCUAAGAAAACAAAGGACAGUUUGCUCUUCACUGCGCACUGCCCGCUGUAUUGGUUUAAUCCCUCCAUUUCUGGUUAUUAAUUAGCUUAAUCAUUUGGAAUCUAAUAUUACUGGGGUUCUCCCAUGUAUUCAGUUCCAAGGGGGAGGCAGGCAUACUGGAUACAUAGGGGUUUUCAGUCUAGAAUUUUGUUUGUGUUUUCAAGAGCUGGUUAGUCCAUAAAAAUUAAUUUAAUCCUUAAGUACUUAGGAUUAAAGAUAGUAUUACAAGAAGAUAGUCCCUUGUAAUAAACUCUCUUUUACUUGGCAAUAAGGGAGCCUGCAGUCUCUCCAGCUGUCGAGUGCUGCUUCUCCAGGGUGCCACUGUGGUCUGUGAGUAAGUGGUAAAAGGCUCUCUUUUAAUGUGCCAGGUGUUUUCCCUGUUGCUUCUGCCUUCUAGAAGGCUCCAUCCUGUGGAAAGAACUUGUCAAUGAAAGGAAUGACAGCAUUGUUUCAUACCCUGUUCUUUCCCUUCAUCCACUGAGUCAUUCUUUUAUUCCACAAAAUUUUAUUGAAUAUUUCUGCUCAUCUUUGUGUCACGAUCUGUGUUCACAAGAUGCAUGAAUGAGAUAAAACUCAAGACUUCAAGGAAAUUUCACUCUGGUGGGAAGGCAAAUGCAUGCCACAAUUGAGUACUGAUCUUAUAGUCACUCCCAGGAAUCUGGGAACGUGAGGGAGGGAGCUUAACUGUGUCUGGUGGCUUAGGAGAGGCUUCCUGGAUAUUUAAAGUUGGGUUUUGAAGGAAGGCUAGGAGUUUGCUGGGAAAACAAGUUUUAGAAGACUGUUCUGGAUUGGGCGAAGAGUAUGCGUAAAAGCACAAAUAUGCACCUUAGCUGUUUGAGAAAUUAUAAAUAGUGCAUUCUGGUUGGAGUAUAGCAUGAAUUUAGGAGAAGGGAGGCCAAGUGUGGGAGGCAAAGCCAGAACAAGGCCAGAUCUAGAAGAGGCUCUUGUGAAAUCCUGAGGAGCCUCCACUUUGUCCUGAAGGCCAUGGGGAACAUUUGAAAAUAUUUAUUCAGAGGAGAGUGAUGGUCAUCUCAGUAUUUUAGGGAGAUCCUCUGGUGCCAGGGGGCAGGAGAUUGGAGGAGGAAAGACCUGCUGGAUGACUAUUGCAGGAGUCCAAGCAAGAGGAAAUAUGGGCUCCAAACAAGGGCCUGUAGGGCAGGUAGAGCAAGCAUAGGACUGGGAGCUGGGAGACCUAUGUAAUACUCCAGCUUCUGCCAACAUCCACCUCGAAUGAUUUCUUUCCUCCAGAAUGCAGGUCCUGCUCUGUAAAAUGAGGACCUUGGACUGGAUGGUCUCUAACUUGACUCUGAUGUUCUGUCAGAACUAGGUUUUCUAUAAGUUAGAAGUAGGGAGAAGGGAGGAAGAAGUUGCAUGGUCGGGAUUUACAAUUAAUAGAAGUGUUUUUAAUAGUGACGGUUGGAAUGUUCAUCAGCUCUGUCCCACGGAGGCUGUGGAUGGGCCACAAUAAAUGUACAUCGCCCCUUAGUAUAGGGCAGCUUCUUUGCCUCCACUCCCAAAUGUCCUUAGGAUCCCCCAUUCUGCUUCAGGUUGCCUGGCAGCUGGCAGGGGCAGGGCCUUGGAGCAACUGGUCCACGCAUGCUCAGUGCUUUCUUUCUAGUCAGGUGAGAAGAAUGAGCAUGAGGAGUGCCUACACCCUUAGCAAAUUCAUGUCAAAGGUUUGGAUUAAUGUCUACACUUUCUUUUUCCCUUCCAAGGUUGCCAAUGAAAUUCUUUUCUUAUUCAAAAAUGAAAAUAAUUUUUUUGAUGGUAAAA